UCUACUUUGUCAAACAAAUGGAUACAAAUCAAAAGGAUUUUUCGAAAACUUUCGAACGAACAAAGAAAAAAACAACCGGAAGUUCCGUUUCACUUCACUCAGGCUCGAACCUUGCUGCAGCCGAAAAAAGGUCUAAGAUGCGUGAAGAUAGACUGCAACAAAGUGCUGCACGUACAACUGAAAUAAGC